GAUGAACGCUGGCGGCGUGCCUAAUACAUGCAAGUCGAGCGAACGGACGAGAAGCUUGCUUCUCUGAUGUUAGCGGCGGACGGGUGAGUAACACGUGGAUAACCUACCUAUAAGACUGGGAUAACUUCGGGAAACCGGAGCUAAUACCGGAUAAUAUUUUGAACCGCAUGGUUCAAAAGUGAAAGACGGUCUUGCUGUCACUUAUAGAUGGAUCCGCGCUGCAUUAGCUAGUUGGUAAGGUAACGGCUUACCAAGGCAACGAUGCAUAGACGACCUGAGAGGGUGAUCGGCCACACUGGAACUGAGACACGGUCCAGACUCCUACGGGAGGCAGCAGUAGGGAAUCUGCCGCAAUGGGCGAAAGCCUGACGGAGCAACGCCGCGUGAGUGAUGAAGGUCUUCGGAUCGUAAAACUCUGUUAUUAGGGAAGAACAUAUGUGUAAGUAACUGUGCACAUCUUGACGGUACCUAAUCAGAAAGCCACGGCUAACUACGUG
rnacentral:rRNA from 1 species